AAAUUAAGAUUUUACCAAGCUAUUUACCGCGGUAAUAUUUACCCUCCUCCAAGAGGUGGGUAAAUUGAUUUACCGUCUCAGUUACCAGAAUCAAGAUGGCCGACCAGACAUAAACAAACGCUCGAUUCACAACUCAUUUUGUCGAUUUUAAAGACAAACUGAAACUUCGUGCUUAGAAAACUGUUCCAUUACGUCCAUAUCAAUAGAAGACAGGAAUACAGAGGCUUUUCAUCAGCGAAAGCCAGCAGAGCCAGUGUGAUGAUAGAACAUAUAACAGGCACAUGAUUAAAGACACCAAGAGCAGUGAGAUUGCUACCAGUGGAAGACCAAGGUUAUAUGACAAAUGUGCCGUCAAGAAAACAUCACAACAUGAACUUCAUGGAGUCGCUAGUGAAUUAUAUGCUGUUUAACAUUGCUGAUUCUGGUUAUUGGUAUAUACAUAAGAAUCGACUUUGAUUUUGAAUUUAAGACCAUUUAUAGUUAAAUGAAAAUAGAAAAUAAAUGUUACAC